rnacentral:rRNA from 1 species
UUGUUGAUCCCCUCCAGUAUUAUAUGCUGAUGUUAAAGAUUAAGCCAUGCAUGUGUAAGUUUAAAGACCAAGUAGGAUGAAACUGCGGACGGCUCAUUAUAACAGUAAUAGUUUCUUUGGUUAGUCGGUACAAGGAUAACUUUGUGAAUGAUAAAGCUAAUACUUGAGACGAUCCGGGAAGUAUUUAUACUUUCCGGCCCUCGGCCGCGAGGUUGGGGAGAAACGACAUUCUCUUGUGAAAAAGGAUGCCGCGACAAUUGAGGAAAGCGACGCUUUUAACAAGUAACCAAUGGGAAUUUCUGAUCUAUCAAUUUGUUGGUAGUAUCGAGGACUACCAAGAUUAUAACGGAUAACGAGGAAUUGGGGUUCGACAUCGGAGAGGGAGCUUUACAGAUGGCUACCACUUCUAAGGAAGGCAGCAGGCGCGUAAAUUACCCACUUUCGACUCGAAGAGGUAGUGACGACAAAUAACUCUUGGCGCCCCUCGGGGUGACUUGAAGGAAUGAUUUAGAAGUAAAUUCUCUAAAGAAAUCAAUUGGAGGGCAAGUCUGGUGCCAGCAGCCGCGGUAAUUCCACCCCCAAUUAUUGA